rnacentral:rRNA from 1 species
GUGAGGAAUUUUGCGCAAUGGCCGCAAGGCUGACGCAGUAACGCCGCGUGGGUGAUGAAGGCCUUCGGGUCGUAAAGCCCUGUCAGGUGGGAAGAAAGGCCUGGAGAGGAAAGGUUUCAGGUUUGACGGUACCACCAGAGGAAGCACCGGCUAACUCCGUGCCAGCAGCCGCGGUAAUACGGAGGGUGCGAGCGUUAUUCGGAAUUACUGGGCGUAAAGCGCGUGUAGGCGGGGGGACAAGUCUGAUGUGAAAGCCCUGGGCUUAACCUGGGAAGCGCAUUGGAAACUGUUUUUCUUGAGUACUGGAGAGGAAGGGGGAAUUCCCGGUGUAGAGGUGAAAUUCGUAGAGAUCGGGAGGAAUACCAGUGGCGUAGGCGCCCUUCUGGACGGUAACUGACGCUGAGACGCGAAAGCGUGGGGAGCAAACAGGAUUAGAUACCCCUGUAGUCC